GACGAACGCUGGCGGCGUGCCUAAAACGUGCAAGUCGAACGGGGGAGCAAUCCCCAGUGGCGAACGGCGGAGUAAUACAUGAACAACGUGCCCUGAAGACCGGGAUAGUCAGUGGAAACGCUGGGUAAUACCGGAUGUGGCCGUCUUGUGGCAUCACGAGACGAUUAAAUGGUUUUUCGCUUCAGGAGCGGUUCAUGGCCUAUCAGGUAGUUGGUGAGGUAACGGCUCACCAAGCCGACGACGGGUAGGCGGGUCUGAGAGGACGAUCCGCUCGAGUGGGACGUGAGACACGGCCCACACACCUACGGGUGGCAGCAGUUGGGAAUCUUGCACAAUAGGGGGGAAACCCCGUACAUGCAGCGACGCCGCGUGGAGGACGAAGGAUCUAGGUCUGUAAACUCCUUUUUC
rnacentral:rRNA from 1 species